AUCGCUUGCCCUCCUUGGGCGUUUCCUCCCUAUAACUUGGGUCGCUUGUUCGACGAGCGGCCCUUUUUCUUUGCAAC
rnacentral:sRNA from 1 species